UUGUAGGCUGAAACUCGCCUACCAUGAAGCUGGAAUUGCUAGUAAUCACAGGUCAGCAUACUGUGGUGAAUACGUUCCCGGGCCUUGUACACACCGCCCGUCACACCAUGAGAGUUGAGAAUACCCGAAGCCCAUGUCAAAGUGGUCGAAGGUAGGCUUGAUGAUUGGGGUGAAGUCGUAACAAGGUAUC
rnacentral:rRNA from 1 species